GUGGGGAAUCUUAGACAAUGGGGGCAACCCUGAUCUAGCCAUGCCGCGUGAGUGAUGAAGGCCUUAGGGUCGUAAAGCUCUUUCGCUGGGGAAGAUAAUGACGGUACCCAGUAAAGAAACCCCGGCUAACUCCGUGCCAGCAGCCGCGGUAAUACGGAGGGGGUUAGCGUUGUUCGGAAUUACUGGGCGUAAAGCGCGCGUAGGCGGAUUGGAAAGUUGGGGGUGAAAUCCCGGGGCUCAACCCUGGAAUGGCCUUCAAAACUCCCAGUCUUGAGGUCGAGAGAGGUGAGUGGAAUUCCGAGUGUAGAGGUGAAAUUCGUAGAUAUUCGGAGGAACACCAGUGGCGAAGGCGGCUCACUGGCUCGAUACUGACGCUGAGGUGCGAAAGCGUGGGGAGCAAACAGGAUUAGAAACCCUUGUAGUCC
rnacentral:rRNA from 1 species